GACGAACGCUGGCGGCGUGCUUAACACAUGCAAGUCGAGCGGUAAGGCCCCUUCGGGGGUACACGAGCGGCGAACGGGUGAGUAACACGUGGGUGACCUGCCCUCAGCUCUGGGAUAAGCCUGGGAAACUGGGUCUAAUACUGGAUAUGACUCCACGGUGCAUGUCGUGGGGUGGAAAGCCUUGUGCGGCUGAGGAUGGGCCCGCGGCCUAUCAGCUUGUUGGUGGGGNGAUGGCCUACCAAGGCGACGACGGGUAGCCGGCCUGAGAGGGCGACCGGCCACACUGGGACUGAGACACGGCCCAGACUCCUACGGGAGGCAGCAGUGGGGAAUCUUGCGCAAUGGGCGAAAGCCUGACGCAGCGACGCCGCGUGAGGGAUGACGGCCUGG
rnacentral:rRNA from 1 species